AGUGGCGAACGGGUGAGUAAUGCAUCGGAACGUGCCCAGUCGUGGGGGAUAACGUGGCGAAAGUUACGCUAAUACCGCAUACGAUCUAUGGAUGAAAGCGGGGGAUCGCAAGACCUCGCGCGAUUGGAGCGGCCGAUAUCAGAUUAGGUAGUUGGUGGGGUAAAGGCUCACCAAGCCGACGAUCUGUAGCUGGUCUGAGAGGACGACCAGCCACACUGGGACUGAGACACGGCCCAGACUCCUACGGGAGGCAGCAGUGGGGAAUUUUGGACAAUGGGCGCAAGCCUGAUCCAGCCAUGCCGCGUGCAGGAUGAAGGCCUUCGGGUUGUAAACUGCUUUUGUACGGAACGAAAAGGUUUGGCCUAAUAAGCUGAGCUCAUGACGGUACCGUAAGAAUAAGCACCGGCUAACUACGUGCCAGCAGCCGCGGUAAUACGUAGGGUGCGAGCAUUAAUCGGAAUUACUGGGCGUAAAGCGUGCGCAGGCGGUUAUGUAAGACAGAUGUGAAAUCCCCGGGCUCAACCUGGGAACUGCAUUAGUGACUGCAUAGCUGGAGUACGGCAGAGGGGGAUGGAAUUCCGCGUGUAGCAGUGAAAUGCGUAGAUAUGCGGAGGAACACCGAUGGCGAAGGCAAUCCCCUGGGUCUGUACUGACGCUCAUGCACGAAAGCGUGG
rnacentral:rRNA from 1 species